rnacentral:rRNA from 1 species
UACGUAGGGUGCGAGCGUUGUCCGGAAUUACUGGGCGUAAAGAGCUCGUAGGCGGUCUGUUGCGUCUGCUGUGAAAACCCGGGGCUUAACCCCUGGCUUGCAGUGGAUACGGACAGACUAGAGGUAGGUAGGGGAGAAUGGAAUUCCCGGUGUAGCGGUGAAAUGCGCAGAUAUCGGGAGGAACACCGGUGGCGAAGGCGGUUCUCUGGGCCUUACCUGACGCUGAGGAGCGAAAGCGUGGGGAGUGAACAGG